rnacentral:rRNA from 1 species
UGACCUGCGGAGGAUCAUUAUUGAAUCUAUUCUUUUUACAGUGAACAUUAUUUGUGUAAAUUUUUUAACAGCAAACCUUGAAAUUUUUUGCAAGUUUUAAUCUUAAAACUUUCAGCAACGGAUCUCUUGGUUCUCGCAUCGAUGAAGAACGCAGCGAAACGCGAUAUGUAAUGUGAAUUGCAGUGGAUCAUCGAAUUUUCGAACGCACAUUGCGCCUUCCUUCGGAAGGCAUACCUGUUUGAGUGUUAUAUCUCUUCUUAAAAUUCUAUUUUAUGUUGAGGAAUGGUACACAUUUCUUGAAAGGCAUUGGCAAGUGUUCUAGUAUUUCACUUUGUCGCCCAUACAAUAUGUUAUUUUGACCUCAAAUCAGGUAAGACUACCCGCUGAACUUAAGCAUAUCAA